UACGUAGGGGGCAAGCGUUGUCCGGAAUCAUUGGGCGUAAAGAGCGUGUAGGCGGUUCGGUAAGUCCGCUGUAAAAGUCCAGGGCUCAACCCUGGAAAGCCGGUGGAAACUGUCGAACUAGAGUCCGGAAGAGGCGAGUGGAAUUCCUGGUGUAGUGGUGAAAUGCGUAGAUAUCUGGAAGAACACCAAAGGCGAAGGCAGUGUCCUGGGUGGUCGCUGACGCUGAGAGGCGAGAGCCAGGGGAGCGAACGGG
rnacentral:rRNA from 1 species